rnacentral:rRNA from 1 species
GACGAACGCUGGCGGCGUGCUUAACACAUGCAAGUCGAACGGAAAGGCCCCUUUGGGGGUACUCGAGUGGCGAACGGGUGAGUAACACGUGAGUAACCUGCCCUUGACUUCGGGAUAACUUCAGGAAACUGGGGCUAAUACCGGAUAGGAAUCCUUGCUGCAUGGUGGGGGUUGGAAAGCUUCGGCGGUUUUGGAUGGACUCGCGGCUUAUCAGCUUGUUGGUGGGGUAGUGGCUUACCAAGGCUUUGGCGGGUAGCCGGCCUGAGAGGGCGACCGGCCACAUUGGGACUGAGGUACGGCCCAGACUCCUACGGGGGGCAGCAGUGGGGAAUAUUGCACAAUGGGCGGAAGCCUGAUGCAGCAACGCCGCGGGCGGGAUGACGGCCUUCGGGUUGUAAACCGCUUUCAGCAGGGGCGAAGCUUGUGGUGACGGUACCUGCAGAAGAAGCACCGGCUAACUACGUG